UCGCCGCCUGGCGAAUUGUUGCUGGUCUCCGCGGUCGCACCGGCCGUGGCGGUGCCGGACGCUGCCGUGGCGGUGCCGGCCGCGGUGGCGGACC
rnacentral:tRNA from 1 species